rnacentral:lncRNA from 1 species
UUUUUUUUUCGUUUUUUUUUUUUAAUUUUUUAAAUUUAUUUAUGAUAGUCACACGGGGGGGGGGGGGGGGGGCAGAGACAUAGGCAGAGGGAGAAGCAGGCUCCAUGCACCGGGAGCCUGACGUGGGAUUCGAUCCCGGGUCUCCAGGAUCGUGCCCUGAGCCAAAGGCAGGCGCUAAACCGCUGCGCCACCCAGGGAUCCCUUUUUUUCUUUUUUGGACAUAUAAAUAUGUUUAAUUACCUGCUACACCAUUCAGAUGGAAAGGUGGGGUAAAUGGAUAGAAACAAGGGUCAUAAACUUAGAGGAGACAGGCCAGCAUUUUUAGACAACUUUAGGUUUAGACAUUCACCAGACUGAACUAAUUUUUAACAUUUAAAAUAAAACUCUAAAACUUUUUUACCACAAUAAACAAAACGUAUUAAAAUUGACCUCCAGAAAUGACCCAAUUACUUUGUAAACAUGAUUUAAUUUUUUUCACAUUUCUUUAAAUGCCAAGUUUUCUCUGGCAAAUUUAUUCAAAAUACUAAAUUUUCAUUUUAGAACUUACUUUACAUAGCAGAGUGCCCUAAAUUGACAUUCAUCAAGACACCUUUCUCUAAGCCCUAAUGGUUUCUACCUUCCUUUUAAGAUGUAUUAAGUAAAUUUGUCAUUCUCAAAAAUAUUCCAGAGAAAAAAAUUAUGAAUUAAACACCCAUAAAUUCUUCAUUUCUGUUGUAGUGUAGCAGUUUAUCAUCUAACCCACAGUGGUCUAUCAACUGAGUAAGGCUGAGUUUCUUGUUUUCCUCAGACAAAAAAGAAAAAGUUUCAUAAACAGAUAAAACAAUUUAGUAAUACUUUUAAUUUUUUAACAGAUUCCCAAAAUAACUAUUUGACAUAUUUUCUUGGCUACUGAAUAAAUAAUGAGUUCAAAUAAUUUUACCUCAGAAAUAUUCUUUCUUGUUGACUCAAGGUUAUUCACUAUAGCCAAGUCUAUUAUCUAUUUUAAAGUGUCUUUAACCUUGUCCAGUUAUAACAAAAUACGGUCUUUUAUUUUUUUUUUAAUGUAAAAGAGUACAUUUGUGUGGGAGGUACAGAAAUUUAAGCAAUAUUUUUCAUACCUAUUUGAACUAUUAUUUAUCUAUUUCAUAAUAAUAAAAAUUGAGACGUGUUCCUAAUGGACUUUCUACUUCUAGUUUGGGCGCAUCUCAAAAAAAGCAGAAAAUGACCUGAUCACCCUUGUUAAGAAGCAUGUACAGUGAUGGCAUGAAGGAUCUGCCCAGCAAACAAAUUAAUUAAGCACCAGACUAAAGAAUUCCAGAAUCAGCAGUGACUAAGGAUUCCUUUACACACAAAGAGAAACAGGAACUGUUUCAUCCUGAUAAAAAGCUCUGCAAUCAGUGUUCGCAGUGCUCUGUAGCUUAUGCUUUGCAGACUACAUUAUACUCUAUGAAAAGCAAUAAAUUAAAGUCAUCUAUUAUUUUACAGGCUCUACAUCUAGCCAGUGUGAGUUAACUUUCAGUCCCUUCUGUACCAUACCACAUUGCUCCCCCAUACACUCAUGAGGGAAAAUUGAUAAGAUGGGACACAGUGACAACUCCCAUUUUAUUUUGCUCAAAUUCUAGUGCCUGCCUGUGUCUCAAUCAAUCUCUUCCACUACAAGAAAAUCCUGGAGAAAAGAAAGUAACAUUUCCCUCUUCCACCCAUUGUGAUACCAAGGACAGUGUAAUAGAAGUGUCCCUCUGUGCAAACAAAGCCUACAGACAGCUUCGAUAUGUGCUGCCUUGGAGCUAGCUUUGGCUCUCUGGAGCAAAGCCGAGAUUUAAUGAGGCUUACCAGAUUGAAGGUCACAGUGGUGUACUGAAUAAGAGGGUUUUUACAGAGAACCAUACGUUAAUAAAACCAAAGAACUACAUAUGGCUAAUGGGCAACUGAGACACACUAAUAAAAGACAAUCAAUAACCAGUAACAGUAUUUCAUAAAGCCAGGCAGACACACCUAGAUACCUACCUUACAAGAGUCUAAAGUAACAUAUGCUGUACAACAGGGAAAGCUCUAGUUUAUAGGUAGAAAAGUUCACAGUUCACUCCUUUCCCAAAACACCGUAUGUAGCCUCUGC